rnacentral:sRNA from 1 species
UUGCUCUGGUCGUGCCCCACACAGGCGCGCUUUUCCUUCAGGGGCUGUGACUGGUUAUGGAAAACGGCACACCUGCCACUCUGUCAGACCAUGAGGUUUAAUUGAGUGAACACCGCUGUUCCAGGGCUCUGCCUUUCGCUGAACGCUCCUGCUGGGCUCGGGCCUCCCGAGUAGCUGGAAGUACAGAUAAUCACAGCUGGCUUAUCAAUAUUGCUGUUUGAUGCGAUCCUGACCAGUGCAGCCACGGGAUGUGAACUGUCCUGCCUUUGAUACCGGUGGCAGCCUGAUGACAGACACCGGAUGCAUGAAAAGGCAAAAGGAGCACGAGGAGGAAGGAACACGGGUUCAGGGAAAGAGCGGAGGCUUUGCAAGGACGGACCCUCAGUCUCAGGUAUGUCUUUAUCAGCAGUGUGAGAACAGACGAAUCAGCAGCGUGAGAACAGACGAAAUUACUCAGUCUCAUGUAGGUCUUUAUCAGCAGCAUGAGAACAGAUGAAUACAACCGCCAAGGGAAGGUUCUGUCCAAUCUGAAACAAUUUCCAACUCUUUUACCUUUCCUCUGUGACUGCUUUUAUUUCUUCAAAUCAAACUGGUGGAAAAGCAGCAACAAGCACCCACAGGCUGUGAGCUUUUCAGUCGCAAACGUGUACACAAGC